rnacentral:rRNA from 1 species
GAUGAACGCUGGCGGCAUGCCUAAUACAUGCAAGUCGAACGAGAGGAAGGAAAGCUUGCUUUUCUGAAUCUAGUGGCGAACGGGUGAGUAACACGUAGGUAACCUGCCCAUGUGCCCGGGAUAACUUCUGGAAACGGAUGCUAAAACCGGAUAGGUAGCAGACAAGCAUUUGACUGCUAUUAAAGUGGCUAAGGCCAUGAACAUGGAUGGACCUGCGGUGCAUUAGCUAGUUGGUGAGGUAACGGCCCACCAAGGCGACGAUGCAUAGCCGGCAUGAGAGGGCGGACGGCCACAUUGGGACUGAGACACGGCCCAAACUCCUACGGGAGGCAGCAGUAGGGAAUUUUCGUCAAUGGGGGGAACCCUGAACGAGCAAUGCCGCGUGAGUGAGGAAGGUCUUCGGAUCGUAAGGCUCUGUUGUAAGAGAAAAACGACAUUCAUAGGGAAUGAUGAGUGAGUGAUGGUAUCUUACCAGAAAGUCACGGCUAACUACGUGCCAGCAGCCGCCGCCG